rnacentral:tRNA from 1 species
CAAGGAAGAAACGACAGCUCCACCAUCAGCACCCAAAGCUGACAUUCUAUUUAAACUA